AGUGAACGCUGGCGGUAGGCCUAACACAUGCAAGUCGAACGGCAGCACAGUAAGAGCUUGCUCUUAUGGGUGGCGAGUGGCGGACGGGUGAGGUAUACAUCGGAAUCUACUUUUUCGUGGGGGAUCACGUAGGGAAACUUACGCUAAUACCGCAUACGACCUACGGGUGAAAGCAGGGGAUCUUCGGACCUUGCGCGAUUGAAUGAGCCGAUGUCGGAUUAGCUAGUUGGCGGGGUAAAGGCCCACCAAGGCGACGAUCCGUAGCUGGUCUGAGAGGAGGGUCCGGGACACUGGAGCUGAGAGACGGUACAGACACCGAGGGAAGGCAGAGGUGGGGAAGGUUGGCCGAAGGGCGGAAGCCUGCACCAGCCGUGCCGCGUGGAUGAAGAAGGGCUGCGGGUUGUAAGGCCGUUUUGUGGGGAAAGAAAAGCAGCGGGUUAAAACCCGGCUGUUCGAACGGUACCGGAAGAAUAGGCACCGGCUAACAUCGU
rnacentral:rRNA from 1 species